GACGAACCGUCCUAACGUUGUUCGGAAUCACUGGGCUUAAAGGGCGCGUAGGCGGCUUGCCAAGUCAGGGGUGAAAUCCUGCAGCUUAACUGUAGAAGGGCCUUUGAUACUGGCGAGCUCGAGGGAGGUAGGGGUAUGUGGAACUUCCGGUGGAGCGGUGAAAUGCGUUGAUAUCGGAAGGAACAUCGAUGGCGAAGGCAAUCACCUGGGCCUGAACUGACACUGAGACACGAAAGCGUGGGUAGCAAACAGG
rnacentral:rRNA from 1 species